rnacentral:rRNA from 1 species
AUUGAACGCUGGCGGCAGGCCUAACACAUGCAAGUCGAGCGAGCGGCGGACGGGUGAGUAUUGCCUGGGAAUUGCCCAGUCGAGGGGGGUAACAGUUGGAAACGACUGCUAAAACCGCAUACGAUUGGAUUGCCCAGGCGGGAUUAGCUAGUUGGUGAGGUAAUGGCUCACCAAGGCGACGAUCCCUAGCUGGUCUGAGAGGAUGAUCAGCCAACCUGUAACUGAGACACGGUCCAGACGCCUACGGGAGGCAGCAGUGGGGAUUAUUGCAACAUGGGCGACACCCUGAUGCAGCAGUGCGGCGUGUGUGUAGAAGGCCUUCGGGUUGUAAAGCAAUUUGAGCGAGGAGGCGUUACUCGCAGAAGAAGCACCGGCUAACGCCGUGCCAGCAGCCGCGGUAAUAC